CGCGUAGGCGGCACCGCAAGUCGACUGUGAAAUCUCCGGGCUUAACCCGGAACGGUCAGCCGAUACUGCGGGGCUAGAGUGCAGAAGGGGCAACUGGAAUUCUCGGUGUAGCGGUGAAAUGCGUAGAUAUCGAGAGGAACACCUGCGGCGAAGGUGGGUUGCUGGGCCGACACUGACGCUGACAGCGCGAAAGCCAGGGGAGCAAACG
rnacentral:rRNA from 1 species